GUAAUUCUCAAAAUAUUUCAAACAUUUUCAUCAUUAUUUUAUUUGUUAAGGUGAUCUGUGAUCAGUUGAUGUUACUAUUAUAUUUACUCUGGGGCACCGCCAACUGUACCUAUCUACGAUGGCAAACUUAGUAAGAUAAAUGUUGUGUGUGUUCUGACCAUUCCACCUAUGCUGUUCCCUCUUUCCUCUCCUCGGGCUUCCCUAUUCCAAGACACAAUACUGAUAUUACAUCAAUUAAUAGCCCUACAAUGGCCCAUAAGUGUUCAAGUGAUAGGAAAGUCACAGAUCUCUCACUUUAAAUCAAAAGCCAGAAAUGAUUACCUUAGUAAGGAAGGCAUGCUGAAAGCCAAGAUAGGCCAAAAGCAAGAGAUGGGCUCUUGUGCCAAACACCCAAGUUGUGAGAGUAGAGGAAAAAUUCUUAAAGGAAAUCAAAAACCUUCACACAAAUGGUAAGAAAGCAAAACAGCCUUAUUGCUGAUAUAACAAGUGUUGUAGAUAGAAGAUCAAACCAGCCAUAUAACAUUCUGUUAAACCAAAGCCUAAUCCAGAGCAAGGCCCUAAUGGUCUUCAAUUCUGUGAAGUCUGACAGAGGCAAAGAAGCUGCAGAAGAAACGUCUGAAGCUAGCAGAGGCAGGUUCAUGAGGUUUAGUAAGCCACCCCCAUAACAUCAAAGUGCAAGGUAAAGCAGCAAGUGCUGCUGGAGAAGCCGCAGCAAGUUAUCCAGAAGAUCUAGCUAAGAUCAUUAAUGAAGGUGGCUAAGCUAAACAAUAGAUUUUUAAUGUAGAUGAAACAGCCACUUAUUGAAAGAUGUCAUCUAGGACUUCUAUAGCUAGCUAAGAGAAGUCAAUGCCUGCCUUCAAAGCUUCAAAGGACAGACUCUCUUGUUAGCGCCUAAUGUGGCUAAGUUGAAGCCAAAGCUUAACUAUGAUUGUGAAAAUCCUACGGCCCUUAAGAAGUGUGCUAGAUUUACUCUGCAGGAACUCUAUAAAUGGAAAAAAGCAGAUGACAGCACAUCUGUUUACAACACGGUUUACUGAAUAUUCUGAGCACACUGCUAAGACCUACUGCUCAGGAAGAAAGAUUCCUUUCAAAACAUUGCUCACUGACAAUGCACCUGGUCACCCAUGACCAAGAGUCCUGCUGGAGAUGGAUGAUAAGACUCCUGUUGUUUUCAUGCCUGCGAACACAACAUCCAUUAUUCUGCAGCUCACAGAUCAAGAAGUCAUUUCAAUUCUCAAAUCAUAUUAUUUAAGAAACACAUUUCGUGAAGCUACAGCUACCAUAGAUAGUGAUUUUUCUAAUGGACAAAGUAAAUUGGAUGGAUCUGAUGGAUUUCUCUGGGCAAAGUAAACUGAAAACCUUUGGGAAUGGAGUCAUCAUUGUAGGUGACAUUAAGAACAUUUGUGAUUCGUGGGAAAAGGUUAAAAUACCAACGUGAAUGGGUUUGGAAGAAUGUGAUUGCAAUCUUCAUGGAGGACUUUGGGGGGCUCAAGACUCCAGUGGUAGAAAUAACUGCAGAUGUGGUGGAAACAAGAACGAAAGUUAGAUGUGGAGCCUGAAGAUGACACCAAAUGGUUGCAGCUUUGUGGCAACAUGAACAGAUGAAGAGUUGCUUCUGAUGGAUGGGCAAAGAAACUGGUUUCUUGAGAUGGAAACUACUCCUGGUUAGGAUGCUGGAAGACUGUUGAAAUGACAAAAAAGAAUUGAGAAUAUUACAGAAAUUCAGUUGAUAAAGUUGGAUUGAGAGGACAGACUUGAACUCUGAAAGAAGUUCUGCUGUGCAUAAAAUGCAAUCAAACAGCAUCACACAUUACAGAGAAACUGUUCACACAAAAAAGAGUGAACUGAUGUGGCAAAAACUCCACUGCUGUCUUAUUUUAAGAAAUGGCCACAACUACCCCAGCCUUCAAUACCACCAUUCUGAUCCAUCGGCAACUGUCAGCAAUGAGGCAAAAUCCUCCACCAGCAAAAAGAAUAUGACUUGCCAAAAGCUCAGAUGAUAGCAUAUUUUAGCAAUAUUUUUUAAUCAUGGCAUGCACAUUUUUUAGACACGAUGCCAUUGUACACUUAAUAGACUAUGCUGCAAUGUAAAUAUAACUUUUACAUGCAUGAGGAAACAAAAAAAAAAAUUCAUCUGACUUGCUCUACUGUGGCAUUUACUUUAUUGCAGGGUUCUGGAACCAAACCUGCAAUGUCUGAUGUGUGCAAGUAUACAAAAAGAAUGGGCUCAAGUCAUAAAUAAUUUUAAAUGAUUAAUUAUCCUGGCAAUCAUAGAAAUGUACAUGUUAAUAAGAUACGAUGACAUUUUCCAUGUAUAAAUCAGCAAAGAAUUGUAAAAUUAUAAUAUAUGGUGCUAACCAGGAUCAAGGAUAACACCCCCACACUCUGCUACUGGGAGUGAAAAUUGGCACACCUUCCAGAACACAAUUUGGCAGUAAUAAAAGCCCUGAAACUGUGCCUACAUUCUAACCCUAUAAUUCCACUUCCAGAAAUUAUUAUUAAGAAUCACAAAUGAGAAAAAGAAUUUAACUUCAAGAAUAUUCACACUAAAACAUUACAAAGUAUACCACUUAAUAAAGUCCUGUACAUCUCUCUAUACGCUGGCAGCUACACAGUGAGGCAGGUACUCUUGCUUGUUUUAGUAGUAGGAAGGUAAACAGAAAAGUAAUUUGCCAUUUGUAACAGAAAUCUUUAAAAUGUUCAGCGAUUUCACUUUCUAGGAAUGUAUUCCACGUGAACACAACUUUAUUUUUAAUAGCAAAAAGAAUAAUAAAAAUUUAAAUGUUCAAAAUUAGAAGCAUGGUUAAGUACAAAGUAUGACAAAAUCCAUGUCAUUCAAAUGACUAUUGAGCUGUCGAUAAGCUUUCCAAUCAUUUAAAAUAAAAUUGGAAAAUGUUCACAAUAUCACAGUAAGAAGAAAAACAUAGAUUCUACUAUAUGGGAGGGAGGGAGGGAGGGAGGGGGUAGAAAACACAGGCUUUUAAAAAUAAGGUUUUCAGAUGGAUUUUGCUAAAGUAUCUCCCUGGAGCAGUCAACUCGAUGUGCAAGUGCCAGGAGUGUAAACUAAUUUGUCUCAGGCUUCUGUGUCUCAAGAAAACAAGAUUUUUAUUUUAUGCUAUGAAUGAGACAGAGAACUGAUAUAAAAGUGUGGUAAGUGAUACAUAAAUCAGGUUUAUGACUCAGGUAUCCAACUGCAACCUUCAUGGGUGAAUUCAACUCAAGACUCCAGUUUUGCUGUCCCUCUCUCAUUACUGUCUGAUUCACUGGGUCCCCCAAUUUCACAAUUUCUUGUCCUUCUUCACUUGUAUGCUCCUUAUCCUUUUUUAACUCAUAAAUCAAAGGACUGAACUAAAUGACCUCAAGGAUCCUUUUAGAUUCUUGGACCCCACUGGAUUUACAACCACCUGGAGCACAAGAAAGCACAUAUGUAUCUAUUUUACUGGGGGGAUAAAAUGUUACCAAUACAUCAACUCAGGGCAGCAAGGCUCUUCCCAAGACCUCCUUUUGUUUCACCUCCAAGAUUUUAAAGCAUAAUGCUUUCUUUAAGGGCCUCCCCUUAGUUGUCCACUGGCUCCAUUAAUAACAGGGUCCUCAUUAACUACUUUCUAAGCGACAGUGCUUUUUAUAUUUUACAGCUCCACUUCAGAGACAAAGUCAUGCUGGGAAGAGUAUGUCAAGGCUGGAAAAAAAAAAAAAUCAGGAUACAAAAAGAUUUUGUUAGUCUGGAAUAUCCAAGCAGAUGGAAAUUUAAUAGAGAUAAAGGCAAAGUUCAUCACUUAGACCCCAAAACUACAUGGAAAUGAUGUGGCUUAACAUCAGCCUACACAUACAUACAACACAGAGCUGUGACUUCAGUUGACUAUAAUUUCAGGAGUCAAGAAUGUAGGACUGCUUGGGGAAAGAGAAACCUUAUCAUCUUGUUCUUCUGUUUUUUGUUUUUUUUUUAAACCUAGUGUCAAAAUAGGAAAGAGUAAAGGUUACUCUCCACUCUGUAAGGUGACAUUGUAUGUUGACGACUAUAAGCUGUGUUGUGUGCACUUUAAGAAGGGCAUUAACAAAGUAAAUGGAGGGCAGAAGACUAAGAAGCUGAUGAGGGCAUCUGUCAAAUAAAAAACAUUUGGGGACACUUGGGUGGCUCAGUCAUAAUCUCAGGGUCCUGGGAUCAAGUCCUAUGUUGGGCUCCCUGCUCAGCGGGGAGUCUGCUUAUCCCUCUCUCUCUGCUUCUCCCCUGCACUCAUACACUCUCUCAAAUAAAUAAACAAAAUCUUUUAAAAAGAAAAGAAACAUUUGAAGGAAAUGGAAAUAUUUAGCCUGUAGAAUGGAAGAUCUAGGAAAAGGCCAGAAAUCUUAAUAAUGACAGAAGCCCUCAAAAUGAAGUAAAUGAAUGAAGUCAGCAGGUAGAGACUUUAGCAAAAUGGAAAGUAUAUUUAGCACCUAAAGGAGAUUUCUACUGAUAGAAAUAUGAGCUCUGUAUCACUGAAUCUUUUUUUUUUUUUCUCAAGAAAAGCCAGAAAGAAAUUUUUAUGAGAAAUCUCCCCACUUCUAAAAGUCCAUUCUCAGGACGCCUGGGCAGCUCAAUGGUUGAAUGUCUGCCUUUGGCUCAGGUCAUGAUCCUGGGGUCCUGGGAUCAAGUCCCACAUAGGGCUCCCCAUGGGGAACCUGCUUCUCCCUCUGCCUGUGUCUCUGC
rnacentral:lncRNA from 1 species